rnacentral:rRNA from 1 species
CCUACGGGCGGCAGCAGUGAGGAAUAUUGGUCAAUGGACGUAAGCCUGAACCAGCCAAGUCGCGUGAGGGAUGAAGGUUCUAUGGGUCGUAAACCUCUUUUAUAAGAGGGUAAUGUGCGGUACGUGUCCCUUUUUGUAUGUACCUUAUGAAUAAGGAUCGGCUAACUCCGUGCCAGCAGCCGCGGUAAUACGGAGGAUCCAAGCGUUAUCCGGAUUUAUUGGGUUUAAAGGGUGCGUAGGCGGUAUUUUAAGUCAGCGGUGAAAGUUUGUGGCUCAACCAUGGAAUUGUCGUUGAUACUGGGAGGCUUGAGUAUGGUUGAGGCAGGCGGAAUGCGUGGUGUAGCGGUGAAAUGCGUAGAUAUCACGCAGAACCCCGAUUGCGAAGGCAGCCUGCCAAGCCAUGACUGACGCUGAGGCACGAAAGCGUGGGGAGCAAACAGGAUUAGAUACCCGUGUAGUC